AAUACCUCAAACCAUUUUGCACUCUUCGGUUUAACAACUUAUAUUGUAGUCUGUUCUAGCAGUUAGAACAUUUUGUAUAUAUAGUUAUACAGUUGCCCGUCUGAUCGACCUUCUAUCUCAUUUUGCAAUCCGUUACUGCUUGACACAAUUUUGUAACACUUUCGCAGAGGAUUAAAUCUUGUUUGUUUGUUUAUUUAUUAGGACCUCCUAUUUUACUUUCUUUUCAACUUGUUUUUUUUUUUUUUUUUAAAUCUACUUCGGCAUAUGCCUUAGACUUUGUUUAACACCAGGAACUGUAAUUUAUCCCCUUAUCAUAAUUCAAUAAAAAAAAAUUCAAUUUCUAAGUGUCGUUGGGCGCCUCUUAUUUUGUUGUUUUUUUAACGUCGAAGAUUUAGAAAUAUGGUCGUCGUAAGAUUUCCCAUCGUUCGAGAGUUAACCCUGUUAGCGUUAUUGUAAUAAUUCAUCUAAUCAAUAAAAUAAUUUGGUUUCAGAGCACAAUCAGGACAUUUCUAUCGGAAAGAACUGUUCGCCUGUCAUCAAAUUGGAAUUCCUUCACACUGUUCUCCAAAAAAAUAAGAUCAAAACCAGAUCAUUCAAUUUCACAUUCCAAUAUACACAAUGAUAUAUGAUGUGAUUUCCAUUACGAAUCCAUUUUGUUCUGAUUUGGUUCCACUAAGAUAUCCCCCAGGAUUAAAAAUUAUAGAAACAGAAGACACAGCUUCC
rnacentral:lncRNA from 1 species